rnacentral:lncRNA from 1 species
GAUGGAAGAAACUUUAAAAAAGAUGAUUGAGCUAGUUUUACUUAUAUAUUUUCAUUAAAGUCCUAGCUUGGCAAAGCAUCAAAAGAUAUUUUUAUUCAUCUUAUUUAUAAGAUUUUUAUUUAAAAUUAUCUAAUUGAAUUGAUACAAAAAUUAAGAUUUGGUUCAUAUUCAAUUGUAGUAAACUAAUAUGAUAGUUUUGAAUAUGUCAAUUGAUUUAAAGAUUGAUUUAAAUGGA